AUUGAACGCUGGCGGCAGGCCUAACACAUGCAAGUCGAACGAGUGGCGAACGUGUGAGUAAUGUCUGGGAAACUGCCCGAUGGAGGGGGUUAACUAAUGGAAACGGUAGCUAAUACCGCAUACCAUCGGAUGUGCCCAGAUGGGAUUAGCUAGUAGGUGAGGUAAUGGCUCACCUAGGCGCCGAUCCCUAGCUGGUCUGAGAGGAUGACCAGCCACACUGGAACUGAGACACGGUCCAGACUCCUACGGGAGGCAGCAGUGGGGAAUAUUGGACAAUGGGCGCAAGCCUGAUGCAGCCAUGCCGCGUGUAUGAAGAAGGCCUUCGGGUUGUAAAGUACUUUCAGCUGGGAGGCGUUACCAGCAGAAGAAGCACCGGCUAACUCCGUGCCAGCAGCCGCGGUAAUUC
rnacentral:rRNA from 1 species